rnacentral:rRNA from 1 species
UGAGGAAUAUUGGUCAAUGGACGCAAGUCUGAACCAGCCAAGUAGCGUGCAGGAUGACGGCCCUAUGGGUUGUAAACUGCUUUUAUAUGGGGAUAAGGUGGGGAACGUGUUCCCUUUUGCAGGUACCAUAUGAAUAAGGACCGGCUAAUUCCGUGCCAGCAGCCGCGGUAAUACGGAAGGUUCGGGCGUUAUCCGGAUUUAUUGGGUUUAAAGGGAGCGUAGGCCGUUUGGUAAGCGUGUUGUGAAAUGUAGGAGCUCAACUUCUAGAUUGCAGCGCGAACUGGUCGACUUGAGUAUGCAGGAAGUAGGCGGAAUUCAUGGUGUAGCGGUGAAAUGCUUAGAUAUCAUGACGAACUCCGAUUGCGCAGGCAGCUUACUGUAGCAUAACUGACGCUGAUGCUCGAAAGUGCGGGUAUCAAACAGG